rnacentral:rRNA from 1 species
AGAGUUUGAUCCUGGCUCAGGAUGAACGCUAGCGGCAGGCUUAAUACAUGCAAGUCGAGGGGCAGCAGGGUGUAGCAAUACAUCGCUGGCGACCGGCAAACGGGUGCGGAACACGUACGCAACCUUCCUUUAAGUGGAGAAUAGCCCAGGGAAACUUGGAUUAAUACUUCGUAACAUUAUGAGAUGGCAUCAUUUUAUAAUUAUAGUUCCGACGCUUAAAGAUGGGCGUGCGCCUGAUUAGGUAGUUGGCGGGGUAACGGCCCACCAAGCCUACGAUCAGUAACUGGUGUGAGAGCACGACCAGUCACACGGGCACUGAGACACGGGCCCGACUCCUACGGGAGGCAGCAGUAAGGAAUAUUGGUCAAUGGACGCAAGUCUGAACCAGCCAUGCCGCGUGGAGGAUGAAGGUCCUCUGGAUUGUAAACUUCUUUUAUUUGGGAAGAAACCCACGUUUUCUAAUGUGGUUGACGGUACCAGAUGAAUAAGCACCGGCUAACUCCGUGCCAGCAGCCGCGGUAAUACGGAGGGUGCAAGCGUUAUCCGGAUUCACUGGGUUUAAAGGGUGCGUAGGCGGGUUGGUAAGUCCGUGGUGAAAUCUCCGAGCUUAACUCGGAAACUGCCGUGGAUACUAUCAAUCUUGAAUAUCGUGGAGGUAAGCGGAAUAUGUCAUGUAGCGGUGAAAUGCUUAGAUAUGACAUAGAACACCAAUUGCGUAGGCAGCUUACUACACGAUCAUUGACGCUGAGGCACGAAAGCGUGGGGAUCAAACAGGAUUAGAUACCCUAGUAGUCC